rnacentral:rRNA from 1 species
AUCGGAAUUACUGGGCGUAAAGCGUGCGCAGGCGGUGAUGUAAGACAGGUGUGAAAUCCCCGGGCUCAACCUGGGAACUGCAUCUGUGACUGCAUUGCUGGAGUGCGGCAGAGGGGGAUGGAAUUCCGCGUGUAGCAGUGAAAUGCGUAGAUAUGCGGAGGAACACCGAUGGCGAAGGCAAUCCCCUGGGCCUGCACUGACGCUCAUGCACGAAAGCGUGGGGAGCAAACAGG